UACGUAGGGGGCAAGCGUUAUCCGGAAUUAUUGGGCGUAAAGAGUGCGUAGGUGGUUACCUAAGCGCAAGGUUUAAUCUUGAGGCUCAACCUCAUUCUGCCUUGCGAACUGGGCUACUUGAGUGCAGGAGGGGAAAGCGGAAUUCCUAGUGUAGCGGUGAAAUGCGUAGAUAUUAGGAGGAACACCAGUUGCGAAGGCGGCUCUCUGGACUGUAACUGACACUGAGGCACGAAAGCGUGGGGAGCAAACAGGAUUAGAUACCCGGGUAGUCCCUGA
rnacentral:rRNA from 1 species